rnacentral:misc_RNA from 1 species
GACUCAAAAUGGAACAGUCUUUAUGGAAUGCACUUAAUAUAUGUACAAUUUGCAUAUGCAAUUAUCAAUAUAACUCAGCUUAAAGAUAAUUCAGUCAACGGAAUGCAUUCUAGCAAACAUUGAAUGCAUUAUAAAUAUAUAACCUAUACAUAGAUUAAUAUGAACUGAAAGGAAACACUAUUCACAAAGUUUCAAAUCCUAAAAUAAGCAAACAUUUCAAACUUCUACCCCUCUGUUGAAUCGAUGGAAAUCCCACCUGCACCUCUCAGUCUCCUUCUCCUACUGUUCCUGCUCUCAUUGUCCUGAUCAUCAGUGGGCAACUCAUGUCGACAAACAGGACAAGUAUUCUUUAUCCUCAACCAAGGCACAAUACACUCUCCAUGAUAAUAAUGGCAACAAGGCAACUUAUUUACCAUCUCCCCCUCCUUCACCUCAUCCUUGCAAAUAGCACAAACCACAAAAUCCUCCUUUCCCAAGCAUACCAGAGGAAGGUUUUCAACAGCUCUUUUUGCAGCUGGUGGACUUCCCCUCUCAUGAAUGUCACUAUCCACCAAUUGUUCCAAAAAUGUAUGAUCAUCAUCAACAUCAAACAUAUAAGAAUCCUCAAUUGAAAAAUUAUGAUUGUUAAUGGCCAUUGAAAGUUCCCACUCAAUAUUCAUUUCCUCAUCUUCCGUUAGCUCCCCAUCUUCUGUUGCGACUGAAAUACUGGAUGAUGAUAGCGAUAAUUCCUCGACUCUAUCACACGCCAUAAUCAGAUUUUCACUUUCAUUGAUUGCUUGGUCCAAUUCCUCCCAUUCAAAUUCCUCAUUAGGAUUGGCCAAUCCCAUCUGAUUAUCAAUAAAACUAUCCCAUAAUCUAGGAGAGCCCGGUUCAUCACCACCAGCACCCAUUUCAACAAUCUCGAGGUCAGAACCAGACUCCAACUCCGGGUCAAUCCCGGUAACCCGAAGCCCAUCGGCGCGAACUUCAUCCCUGCCUAAUUCAACCCCAAACCCAGAUCCUAACUCCAUAUAGCUCGAGAGAGCAUCCAAGUUGUUGUUAUCUUCAAGACCCCAAGAAUCCAAAUCAUCCAUGUACUGCGUUACCACAUCUAGACCGCCCAAAUGAAACUCGUGAUCACCAUGACUGAAGGGAUAGUGUGGCUCGAGAGGAUAAGCAUGGAAAUUGGAAUCCGAAUCCGAACAGAAAUCGCAGCCGGAGCUGGACACACACUUGGGGUUGACAGAGACGGAAAACGUGGUGUGCGAUGGUUGGAGGGGAUUGUAAUCUUGGGAUUCCGGGACCAGGUCCACGUUAAGGUUGGAGUUAGGGUCUAUGUUUAGGUCUGGAAGAGGGGAAGGAGAACUAGAAAGGCGAGACAUUAUCCCUGGAAAUUGAAAUGC